AUGGCUGCCUAGAAACACCUGCAGUUGGAGGCUCCCACUGAGAAGAAAGAAAACGGCAAGUUAAUCCUAAACCGGCAACUGAGGUUCUCUCGUUGGGACUGACUAGACAGCGCAACAUAUGGACAGCGGAGAAAAAGCAGAGCGAGUUAUGGCCCACCAGGGAGCAGCAUGGGGCAAGGGGAGCUCCCAUCCCCAGUCAAGGGUGUGUGCUGUUUUCGAAAAAUGGCAGUCAGAGCUCCUGCAGAGGCCUCUCUUAAGGGUCCCUGGCAAAAGGGGCCAUUGUUCCAGGCUCCAGUUGCAUGACCGUUUGGAGUUUGAUGACCUCAAGGCAAGAACAGAAGACAAACCAGGCUAUUAGAAAAUAUGUAUCAAAAUGAAACAAGCAGGAGAGCCAUGGAGAAAGAGAGAUGGAAUCACGGAGAAUGGGAGAUUGGCUUUGCCCUGAAGAGAAAAUGCCCGCAGUGUGACUUGUUUUCCCAUGUUUGCCAGUUCAGCUGAGAGUACAAAAGGAAGCCUACAACACAUCGGACUACCUGGGCUUUCCUCCUAGUGUCAGAGGGGCUUGUAAGAUAGGAUCACCUUUGGGGGAAUCUGGAGCUGUCUAUAGGAACCUCAUGAUGUCUGCUAACUUAAAGUCGUGUUUAAUUGAUUAUGAGGCUUUCAGCUAAGGAGCCUGAGCUCUCUGGAAAGUGUUCUGUCAAUUCCUGCAAAAGCCUUGCAUCAAGCAAACUAUAAAUCCCUAGCGGUAACAUGGAAG
rnacentral:lncRNA from 10 species